CCCUUAGAUGUUCUGGGCCGCACGCGCGCUACACUGAUGCUUUCAACGAGUCUAAAACCUGCUCUGAUAGGGGUGGGUAAUCUUUUGAAUGUGCAUCGUGAUUGGGAUAGAUGAUUGCAAUUUUUCAUCUUCAACGAGGAAUGCCUAGUAAACGCAAGUCAUCAGCUUGCAUUGAUUACGUCCCUGCCCUUUGUACACACCGCCCGUCGCUCCUACCGAUUGAAUGAUCCGAUGAAUAUCAUGGAUUGAGGAUGCAAGUAGGUUCGCCUAUCUUCAUCUUCGAGAAGUGAAGUAAAUCUUAUCAUUUAGAGGAAGGAGAAGUCGUAACA
rnacentral:rRNA from 1 species